rnacentral:rRNA from 1 species
GAUGAACGCUGGCGGCGUGCCUAAUACAUGCAAGUCGAGCGAACAGAUAAGGAGCUUGCUCCUUUGACGUUAGCGGCGGACGGGUGAGUAACACGUGGAUAACCUACCUAUAAGACUGGGAUAACUUCGGGAAACCGGAGCUAAUACCGGAUAACAUAUUGAACCGCAUGGUUCAAUAGUGAAAGACGGCUUUGCUGUCACUUAUAGAUGGAUCCGCGCCGUAUUAGCUAGUUGGUAAGGUAACGGCUUACCAAGGCAACGAUACGUAGCCGACCUGAGAGGGUGAUCGGCCACACUGGAACUGAGACACGGUCCAGACUCCUACGGGAGGCAGCAGUAGGGAAUCUUCCGCAAUGGGCGAAAGCCUGACGGAGCAACGCCGCGUGAGUGAUGAAGGUCUUCGGAUCGUAAAACUCUGUUAUCAGGGAAGAACAAAUGUGUAAGUAACUGUGCACAUCUUGACGGUACCUGAUCAGAAAGCCACGGCUAACUACGUG